GUCCACGCCGUAAACGAUGGGUGCUAGGUGUGGGGUGUCGACUCCCUCCGUGCCGCAGCUAACGCAUUAAGCACCCCGCCUGGGGAGUACGGCCGCAAGGCUAAACUCAAAGGAAUUGACGGGGCCCGCACAAGCAGCGGAGCAUGUGGUUUAAUUCGACGCAACGCGAAGAACCUUACCUGGGCUUGACAUGCACGGGAAUGUCGUAGAAAUACGGCAGCCCUUCGGGGCUCGUGCACAGGUGGUGCAUGGCUGUCGU
rnacentral:rRNA from 1 species